rnacentral:rRNA from 1 species
AGGGGAUCCCAAGUGCGAGGGCAUAUCGCCCUCGCUUUUCUGCACCGUAAGGAGGUGCAGGAACAAGAGCUGGGCAAGACCGGUGCCAGCCGCCGCGGUAAUACCGGCAGCACGAGUGAUGGCCGAUCUUAUUGGGCCUAAAGCGUCCGUAGCCGGCCGGGCAAGUCCAUCGGGAAAUCCAGUCGCUCAACGACUGGGCGUCCGGUGGAAACUGCCCGGCUUGGGACCGGAAGACCCAACGGGUACGUCCGGGGUAGGAGUGAAAUCCCGUAAUCCUGGACGGACCACCGAUGGCGAAAGCACGUUGGGAAGACGGAUCCGACGGUGAGGGACGAAAGCUAGGGUCUCGAACCGGAUUAGAUACCCGGGUAGUCCUAGCUGUAAACGAUGUUCACUAGGUGUGGCACAGGCUACGAGCCUGUGCUGUGCCGUAGGGAAGCCGCUAAGUGAACCGCCUGGGAAGUACGUCUGCAAGGAUGAAACUUAAAGGAAUUGGCGGG